rnacentral:rRNA from 1 species
CACGACUCUCGGCAACGGAUAUCUUGGCUCUUGCAUCGAUGAAGAACGUAUCGAAAUGCGAUACUUGGUGUGAAUUGCAGAAUCCCGUGAACCAUCGAGUCUUUGAACGCAAGUUGCGCCCGAGACCUUUAGGUUGAGGGCACACCUGCUUGGGCGUCAUGC